rnacentral:rRNA from 1 species
UACGGAGGGUCCAAGCGUUGUCCGGAAUCACUGGGUGUAAAGGGUGCGUAGGCGGACUCGUAAGUCAGGGGUGAAAGCCCGCGGCUCAACCGCGGAACUGCCUCUGAUACUGCGAGCCUUGAGUCCUGGAGGGGCUGGCGGAAUUCGUGGUGUAGCGGUGAAAUGCGUAGAUAUCACGAGGAACACCGGAGGUGUAGACGGCCAGCUGGACAGGUACUGACGCUGAGGCACGAAAGCGUGGGGAGCGAACAGG